CUUAUAGGUCUUAGUACUAUACAUCAUAAACAUGACCAGGUCUUUCUGAACAGGUAAGAAGCGAGCCCGCCCACGCACGUGUAACCAGUUGCAGCCCGUAGAACAAGAGAAGCAAUGAUACCUCUUCUGGGCAAAGACACGGGGAAGCUCCGGAGAGAUUCCACAGCAGACUCGGAUACCAUUGAUCAGGUGGUAGAUCUGAACUGAUGAAUCACACACAGCAUGGCAGUCACUCAAAACCCACCCAUGAGAAAGAAAGAAACUGUCUUUGUAUUGAUCUACCUACAUUUCAGGUCCCAGACGUUUGCCGAGACCUUACAGAGCAGAAAGGCCCUGAGUCCUGGGCUGAGACCAUCUAAAGGCUUCUCUUCUGGACCAUAGCAGGGUGGGAUCCAUUUGACUCUUUAGCAGGGAUUUGGUGCCCUCAUAGUGAAGAAGCCCGACCAACAGCUGGAAGCCUCGGCCACACCAAUAACCUUAUGCACUGCAAGAGUAAAUUCAAAACAGAAGAAGGGCUUCAAACUGCCUGAAAAUGUGGAUGACUGCUAGUUAGCUCCUUGUCACUGUGGCAACCUAUGUUAGAGAAGCAACCUGCAAAAGGGAAGAUGUUGUUCUACUAGUGAUUCCAGUCCAUGGCCAGCUGGUUCCAUUGCUGUGGACCUGGGGUGAACCUGCGACAUCAUGUUAGAGCAUUGAUGAAGCAAGCUGUUCAGCUCCUCCUAUCCGGGAAGCAGAGAUGAGGUGGGUGGAGUGGGUGGGGAUGGGAUAAGAUGUAUCUUUUAAACGCAUGCCCUCACCACCUUCCUCAAGAUCUAGCUAUCCCAGAACACUGCCGUGAGAGGAAGCCUUUAGUAUCUGAGCCUUUGGAGACACAUUGUAUCCAAACAUUGUAUCCAAACAAUAGCAAUAAGCCAAGCGAGGCUCUUGCUUUAUUUUGUCUAAGUAUAUAUCAUAUUAAUGAUUUUCUCCUUAUCCUUGCUUCAUAGUCCUAAGAGGUUAGGUCACAUCUAUAAACACUAUCUAAUGUCAUUAUGCUUGCAGAUGGCAAGCCAUCACCCAGUAAAAACAUUCCUAGAAGUUAUUCCAGUCCUUCCCUCCACCCACUGAACCUCUGCUAACCACAGUCCUGUGUCAGAUGGCAUUGUUCCUUCCCGGUGGAGCUCAGAACAUUCCAGCAUUUCAAGUUGCCCCACAGAACUUUCUUCCUUCCCUUUGACCAAAACACACACGGGAGAAGAGAGAGGGUGUGAGGGUGUCUUUUUUUUUUUUUUCUUAUAGCAAGAGUCCAGACAUGAAUCUGCCUGCUCACACGGGUUCCCAAAAAUACGCCACAUCUAAAACUGGAGAUUCCCAAGACAGACACCAUUUGUUCAAGCUAUCUUCAUGUUACCGUCCCUUGUGAAUUCAGCCAUUUCUAUCCCUGUGUCUUUUUCCUCCAUUACAGAAUCCCAUUUCCUCCCCUCCCCCUAGUUCACUGCCAAAUUAACCUCGUUCUUUCUACCAAAAUUCAUUUAAUUGACUGUUUCGUUUUGUCUCACAGUUAGACGCCAUAUGUACUACAUUAUUUGUGUUUGGGUUUUCUCUGAUUCUGUCUGAAAUGAAGCAAGCGUGGCCUGGGAACUUGCUGAAAUACCAAGAUUCUGCAAAGCUGGAGAGGUUCAGAGACACACACAGAAGGAGACAGAGUUGGGGCGGUACUUUCCCAGAUGGGCCAUAGUCUUUCCGGUCUCUCUUAUACUUACCCUGUGUAUCCUAGUAGAUUAUCAGCACUUGAAAGAUAGGAAUCAGGUCUCUGCUCCUAUUUGUCACUCCCCUGUCAGCACAGUCAGCCCAGGGUUCUGCUCUUUGCGGACACGCCAUGCUAACAAGUGAAUGGCCAAUGGUCCCAGACUAAUCAGACCCAAGGCUCCCUUUCUUUGAAAGGAUGGCUCAAAGUGUUGAGUAGAUUUAUAAGACCCUAUGGAAGUAAAUAAAGAUACUGGUCCUGAACUUCCAAAACAUAUCACACAGGUGCCACCCUUGGGUGCCGUGAGAAGCUUCCAUUUUAAAAUGGUUGCUUCAAUCUCACCCACAUAGGCAAUCCACAACAAAGAGCUUGUUUCUAGUGCCUUCCUAGUAUAUUCCUAAAUGACAAAUUUGACUCUAAGAUGUUGGGCAGAUUUAAGAUUGCCUCUCUGUAUCUGCUGUAGGCCACACACGCGACUGCAACAAUUCAGGAAAAACUAGGUAAGUUAUAAUGAGCAACACUGCACUUCACACACUUCCAGACACUGCGAAGUCCACGGCCCACGGGAUGCUUUGGUGUCUAGUGAGGCGUGGUCUCCACUGCUGAGGGAGCAUUACUGCAUCUUCUGGAGGAGAAGAAUACCUCACAUGGCAGGGAAGCUAGAGACGAAAGCCAUGCUGUUGUUGAUUUUUUUAAAAAAUCUUUUAUAGAUCUACUUUGUUUUUAUUUUAUAUGUAUGGAUUUUAGCCUGCAUGUAUGUAUGUGACAGAUGGCUAUAGGAGAACUAGGACUGUAGUACUAGGACUUGAACCUGGGUCUUUUGCAAAAACAAUAAGUGCUUUGAACCCUGGAGCCAUCUCUCUAGCCCCAUAAGCCAUGUUAUUAAGGCAUUAAUGUAUCCAUUAAGAUGGAGUUCCUAUGGUCUCAGCAUCUCAUUCUAAAAGCCAUGACUCUAUUACUAUUGAUAAUUAAAUUUAUCUUUCUUUGAUGUUUUAUUUAUGUGUGUGUGUGUGUGUGUGUGUGUGUGUGUGUGUACAUGUUUCGACCUACCUUGGACACAUGUUUGUGGUCAUCAAAGGACAACUUCUGGUUGGCCCGUGAACUCCUACUCUUGGUCAUCUUGCCCUCCCCACAGAAAUUCCAUUUUGAUGUCAGUUUUGAAGAGGUCAAACACUCAGUCUAGAGCACCGACUCACUUUUUCUCCUCCACUCUGCUGAGAAUGUCUUCAUCGCGUGGUGUUGGCUUCAGAAUCCUGGGUAGAAGCGGGUAAGAGGCAGCUUACCCAGUUGGCCUGGCCCAGCAGAGCGCGAGAAUUCAUGUUGGCAGCUACUAAUUUUCAUAAAGAAAGCUUUCUCGCUUUUUUUAAAAUCCAUGUUUUCUUGAAGUAUAUUUGGCUUGUGAACCCCGUAUUUACAUGUGUUUGGGGGAGAAAAGGACUGACAAUCCUGCCUUUAAUAUGACCUCUCGCUGAGAUGUCUCCGAAACAGAGAACAAUUGGAGGGCUUUGGUUUACAUUUCUGAAUCUGUUCUAUCGGUAUGCCAAGGCCUCUGAAAGGUGUGACUGGUCUUUGUGGUACACAUUUAGGAACUUUUUGCCUGGCCCAAACACAGCAGAGCUCCU
rnacentral:lncRNA from 1 species